AUGGUAAUUUUAACUGAUGACGACGAAAAAGAAGAAAGCAAUAUUUCAGUUAGCAAUGCAGUUCCAGCCUCUGAUGCAUCUGUUCAUUCCAAUGGUGAAGUAGCCUCUACAAUUACUGAUCCGACUGACAAAAUAAAUUUGACUGAUGAUAAAAAUGUCAGAAACUCAGUUUCAAAUGAUCAGGACUCAGAUGUGGUAGUUCUAACUGACGAUGAGAAUACACCUGAUUCAGGGACCCCCAAAGAAGCAGCAUCUGAUGAUGGAAAGUCAGUUGCUUCAGAAUCAUUAGUUAUAGAUGAACCUGAUCAGAAAACCAGCGUCCAUGAGGCCAGUGCAGAUGAACCGUCAGUGGAGGAUACCGUUUCAUUGGUGAAAAUUGACCUCACCGAUGAUGAACCCUCUGACGUGAAGGAUGAGAGUACUGUUUCAACUGCAGCUCCCCAAGGAGAAUCCAAGAUUUCUGAAAAACUUGAAUCUACAACAAAAGACAUACCAUCAAAAGCAGAGGAUGAUGAAAAGAAACCUAACUCAUGUUCGUUUGACCAAGAUAUCAAUAUGGUAAUCUUGACGGAUGAUGAAUGUACACCAGACUCAAAGAAAAGUCCUGCGGAGGUGAAACCCGACAACGGGGAGUCGACUGAUGGGGACAAACCAGUUUCAAAUGAUCCUCAACAGAAAACAGAAGUUUCUAAAACUGGGACAGAUGAAAAAUCCCCGAAGGACACCAUUCAUUUGGUGAAAAUUGACCUCACAGAUGAUGAUCCCCCAGAGAAGGGGGAUGAGAAGGUUACCUCUACUGUUUCAGACAAGUCUCUUAUCUCCGAAGAAUCUAAGAUUCCUGAAAAGUCCGAGACUAAUAAGCAAGAAGCACCAAAAAUAGAUGUUUGUGACGUUGAUUUAACAGACGAGGAGGGACCCGAACCAAAAGGGGCAACAGGAAUUGCCUCGAUACAAACGCCUGAAGGAACUAUCAUCGGGAAAGCAAUUAACCCGAACCCAAAAGAUGACAGUUUAUUCAAGACUCCAAAGCCACCGACAGCAGUGGAGGUUAUCGAUAUUGAAGCGAUUCGCGAGAAAAGGCUCGGAUCGUAUGAGUGUGUGAACCCUAAUUGCAAGUCGGGUGAGGGAUUACGUUUAGCGGAGACUUUUGUAAUGACCUAUUACAAUGUGAAGCCAAAAAGAGGGCUCAAAAUGUGCGAGGAGUGUUAUAACAUAGCAAUGAACUAUGCCGAUUCUUUGUUGCAAAAGUUGGAAAAGCAUGAAUCGAUUUUCGAUGUCCCGCAUAAUCCAGAUAGUCUGAUUGUCAGUCUUGAUUUGGAUUCGGAUGAUGAAUCAGAAACUAAAGCAGAGAAUCCAGAACUCAAACGAAGAAAGUUAUUCAAAACAUCCGAAAAUUAUCUGGAUGAAACCAUUCAAAAAGUGCUCAACAAAUAUGAUUUUAAGUUCCAGAUGGAGGAAGGCAACAAAAAGGUUGCCUCUGAGAUUGAACGCAUCAAAGCCGAAUUUGACAGCAUGAAACUGGAGAUCGACGUACACACACAAAACCUAAAGGACAUGCACAAUCAGAUCCACGAUCCAUAUCGACCGAGGUACACGCCGGUCAGAGAGCUUUCAAUAAUUGACUGUCAUAUCCAGCCAUACGGUUGUAGAGUGCCGUUAAAGACAGACCGCAACAAACCUCUGGUCUUCCAACCUAAUGUCCCUCAACAACUCUCUCCACAACGCGGCGUCUUUCAACAUCCUCAAUUACCAGCACCAAGGCAACCAACAACAGCCUUUCCAUCAUCACAUCGAAUGGCAGUGGCAACUAAAAAAGUCACUCCGUUCAACAAAUCAAACAUAUUGGAUGCCAAAAAUGUCUCAACCUUUAACUCUGAUAUUGUCCAGUUGAUUCCUGCCAAGAUAAUGCCGCCACCUAACCUGCCUGCACAAGGUCCUCUCAUAAGAACUCCGGUCAAAGUCAACGAGAUUGUGUACUACAUGAAAUCAACCUUGUACGGUGUUUGGAUUCCUGGCAAAGUUAUGAAGGUCUCUGCGGUUGACAGGAAGAGUGUAAGUAUUGUCAUUGUGGUCAAGAGGAAAACCAGUGCCUCAGAUAACCAGGAGUACAAAAAGUUCCUUUUUCUGCAAUCCAGUGUUUUUCCCCCAUUCCCUUCAAAAUUUUUGCUGAAAUCCUCAAAACUUUCAACUUUUCUUUGUUCUUCUAACUCUCUGCCACAAUUUCUGAAACUUUUUUCUUGGAAGAAAAUUAAAUAUUGUCAUAAUUUUUCAAAAAUUCCCUCAA
rnacentral:lncRNA from 1 species